rnacentral:rRNA from 1 species
AACGCUGGCGGCGUGCUUAACACAUGCAAGUCGAACGGUGACCCAGGGCUUGCCCUGGUGAUCAGUGGCGAACGGGUGAGUAACACGUGGGCAACCUGCCCUGACUUCGGGAUAACUCCUCGAAGAGGAGCUAAUACCGGAUACGACCACUUCGGACUAUCCGAUGGUGGUGGAAAGUUUUCGGUCAGGGAUGGGCCCGCGGCCUAUCAGCUAGUUGGUGGGGUAAUGGCCUACCAAGGCGACGACGGGUAGCCGGCCUGAGAGGGCGACCGGCCACACUGGGACUGAGACACGGCCCAGACUCCUACGGGAGGCAGCAGUGGGGAAUAUUGCGCAAUGGGCGAAAGCCUGACGCAGCGACGCCGCGUGAGGGAUGAAGGCCUUCGGGUUGUAAACCUCUUUCAGCAGGGACGAAGCGAAAGUGACGGUACCUGCAGAAGAAGCACCGGCUAACUACGUG